rnacentral:rRNA from 1 species
UACGUAGGGUGCGAGCGUUGUCCGGAAUUAUUGGGCGUAAAGAGCUCGUAGGCGGCUUGUCGCGUCGGAUGUGAAAGCCCGGGGCUUAACUCCGGGUCUGCAUUCGAUACGGGCAGGCUAGAGUUCGGUAGGGGAGAUCGGGAUUCCUGGUGUAGCGGUGAAAUGCGCAGAUAUCAGGAGGAACACCGGUGGCGAAGGCGGAUCUCUGGGCCGAUACUGACGCUGAGGAGCGAAAGCGUGGGGAGCGAACAGG